GGUGGACAUGUGUGAAUAUAUGUUCCAGGAUGAGGAGUUUCUCAAGGUCUUGCCUUGUGGGACUCCAACAUUGAUGCAGCUCCUACUUCACAGAUGGAAUUUUUUCUAAAUUAAAUAACAACAUAAAUGUGCCUUUUUUUUUAAUUAUUUAGACUGGAGACUUUUUUUCUUACUUGAAGUAGAAUAAUACAUUUCAAGAGAUUUGGUUGUUAUGAAAAAGUGUUACUUUUGUGUGUAUGGGAGAAAUAAUGUCAGAAUUAUGGAUAAUUAUGUUCUGUGACUUCAUGAUGUUUCUGUGAAUUUCAGCGUCUCUCUUUGGUUUUCUUAUGACAUUUAAGGGUUAAACAAAGAAAGUUAACAAACCUCGUCGGUUACAAAAGUGGUCCCCAACCUUCAGAUUGCAUCCUGGUACCAGGUCACCAAGAAAAAAAAAAAAAAAAACACACACAACUGACAUUUUUUCCGUUUUAUUUAUAACCUGAUUCUGAAGGAAGUUUUAUUUUGAAAAACCACCAUUCAUUCUUAGUUUGUAUUAGGUCACUUGGUUACAUGUUGAUAAUCCAUCCUUUGUUUUCUCAAAACGGCUGCACCGAAAACGAAAUUGACAAAAACAAGCACAUUUGGAAAGUUUCUUUUUGCAGAAAAUACUGAAAGAGGAAGCAGAAGAAGAGCCUUCAACUUCAAAAUAAAAGAAAUAAAAAAGAAAAGAAAAGAAAAUUCAGUCCAAUAGUAUAAGGAUGCUGCUAAUAAAGUUGCUUAAAAAGUAUAUUUGUUUAUUAUGUUCAGGGAAUACCAGUUUUAGUGACAGAUUUUUAUUUUAUUUUAUUUUUUUGGUAUUUAUUUGUCUAAAAGUUUUAGUUUGAAAAUACAUUUUAGCUUCCACUUUGACAGUUAUGGACUGAGAGAAAAUCGAUAUCACAUUUUAAUGGUUCCUACACGAAAUCUUGUGAACAAAUAAAGUUAAAGCAGCUGCAGAUCAUUUCAAGAUAAACUUGAUCCUCAGAAGUUGAGGGAAACUGGGUUACAAGAUGUUGAACAAAUAUUGACUGAAAAAUGACAUUUUUAUCCGUUUUUGUUGCUUGGCUUCUUUUUUUCACACAUUGGUCAUAAUUUCAAUGAAUUUAUUUUAUUUAUUUAAUUUUUCUUCUUUUCAGUGGUCAAAUUGUUAAAGUUACACUUGUGUUUUUUUAAAAAAAACAUGACAUGCAGCACGAAAUAGAGAAUGUAGUCUGCUCAACCAUGCAUGCUUUUUGUUAUAUUCUUACUGAUGCGAAAAGUUAAAAAACAUAUAAUUUCUAAAAGUGCUUCCUAAUUUGAAGUUCUUAUCAGUUGUUAUUGCCACAUUUUAAUACAAUGUAUUUUUAAUUUUUAACCUGAUCAGCUUUUCAGUAAACUGAGUUCAACAAGCAAAAUAAAUCUGCUCUCAGUAUUAAUGGAUUUUCAUGCAAAUACUAUUAAAACCCCCAGUUUUAAGAAUGUAUUUAGUUUUGAAUCCUGAAUGUUACGAGAGCCGAGACGUUUUAGUGUGUGUAUAAAUAUAUAAAUGUAAUUGUCUCGAAUGAAUAAAUUAAAUAAGCUGAAUGUUUGGGUUUUUUCAUUUCAACAAUUUUUGUUUUACAAAAUAAAUCAAAAGAUCUGCUUA